rnacentral:rRNA from 1 species
AGAGUUUGAUCCUGGCUCAGAACGAACGCUGGCGGCGUGGAUAAGACAUGCAAGUCGAGCGCUGAUUACGAGGUAGCAAUAUUUCGUAGUUGGAGCGGCGCAAGGGUGCGUAACACGUGGGUAAUCUGCCAUGAAGUUUGGGAUAACUCGCUGAAAGGCGAGCUAAUACCGGAUGUGAAGAUUGGAAGGCAUCUUUUGAUCUUCAAAGCUGGGGACCGUAAGGCCUGGCGCUUCAUGAUGAGCCCGCGGCCUAUCAGCUAGUUGGUGAGGUAACGGCUCACCAAGGCUAAGACGGGUAGCUGGUCUGAGAGGACGACCAGCCACACUGGAACUGAGACACGGUCCAGACACCUACGGGUGGCAGCAGUCGAGAAUUUUUCACAAUGGGGGAAACCCUGAUGGAGCGACGCCGCGUGGGGGAUGAAUGGCUUCGGCCCGUAAACCCCUGUCAUUCGCGAACAAUGCCUGUGGUCUAAUAAAUCACAGGUUGAUAGUAGCGGAAGAGGAAGGGACGGCUAACUCUGUGCCAGCAGCCGCGGUAAUACAGAGGUCCCAAGCGUUGUUCGGAUUCACUGGGCGUAAAGGGUGCGUAGGCGGUCGGGUAAGUCUGAUGUGAAAUCUCACAGCUUAACUGUGAAACUGCAUUGGAUACUAUUCGGCUUGAGGUCUGGAGGGGGGACUGGAAUUCUCGGUGUAGCAGUGAAAUGCGUAGAUAUCGAGAGGAACACCAGUGGCGAAGGCGAGUCCCUGGACAGGUCCUGACGCUGAGGCACGAAAGCUAGGGGAGCAAACAGGAUUAGAUACCCUGGUAGUCCUAGCCGUAAACGGUGCUUAUUUGCUGUAAAAGGAAUCGACCCCUUUUGUGGCGUAGCAACGCGUUAAAUAAGCCGCCUGGGAAGUACGGUCGCAGAUUAAAACUCAAAGAAAUUGACGGGGCCUGCACAGCGGUGGGAGUAUGUGGCUUAAUUCGAUGCAAC